GCUGGGCACAGUGGUGCACACCUGUAAUCCCAGCAGCUUGGGAGGCUGAGACUGGAGGAUCACAAGUUCAAAGUCAGCCUGGGCAAUGUCGAGGUGCUAAGCAACUCAGAGAGACCCUGUCUCUA
rnacentral:sRNA from 1 species